UGGGGAAUAUUGGACAAUGGGCGAAAGCCUGAUCCAGCCAUGCCGCGUGUGUGAAGAAGGUCUUCGGAUUGUAAAGCACUUUAAGUUGGGAGGAAGGGCAGUAAGCGAAUACCUUGCUGUUUUGACGUUACCGACAGAAUAAGCACCGGCUAACUCUGUGCCAGCAGCCGCGGUAAUACAGAGGGUGCAAGCGUUAAUCGGAAUUACUGGGCGUAAAGCGCGCGUAGGUGGUUCGUUAAGUUGAAUGUGAAAGCCCCGGGCUCAACCUGGGAAAUGAAUCAAAAACUGGCGAGCUAGAGUAGGGCAGAGGGUGGUGGAAUUUCCUGUGUAGCGGUGAAAUGCGUAGAUAUAGGAAGGAACACAAGUGGCGAAGGCGACCACCUGGGCUCAUACUGACACUGAGGUGCGAAAGCGUGGGGAGCAAACAGG
rnacentral:rRNA from 1 species